rnacentral:lncRNA from 1 species
UUAUAUGUUGCAACUUUUUUCUAUUUAUUCCUGAACAUUACACGUAAUGAUUUUAACUUUUACCGAAAAUGAAAAGAAGUGAAUAUGUCGUGACUCGUGUGUGUAAAUGUUUCGUUCCCAUCCGUGAAUAUGUCCCAUACUCCCCUUCCCUGCCAUUAUUGUUUUCAGUGUAGAGAGAGUUUGUAAUUGGCAAAACAGUUAUAAAAAUUGGUGCACCUAGAAAUUAAUGCAUUUUGUAAUUUUUAGUUAAAUAUGUAGUAAUUAUGAUGAAAAAUGCUAAUUAUCACUUAAUGAGUCACUAAUGGGCAACAAGUACAUUGAUAAGUGGAAAAAAUAAAUAAAUAUCCGUUGAAGUACAUUAAAACAUGUGAAAAAUGUAUAAAUAUCCGUGAAAAGUGUUUAUUAAUCACCGUCCAAUGAGCUAGGCUUAGCUGGAUUUUUUUUUUUCUUCAGGAUGUCUUGUAUUUACUAGUUUUAACCGUCGGUCCAAACGAGCUGAACUUUGGUAACACUUUUUUAUUGGACAAAUAAGCUAAAUAUUUUGCCUUAACCGGCCACUCAACUCAUGCGCAAGUCAUAUACUCAUAUACUCGUACACUAGCAAGAAUUCGAACCUAAAUUUCACACACUGUACAAUUUGUUCAACCUUAAAACCAUCCUGCUAAUAAUUAUUGUACUUAAUUGCCGAAUGGCUGAACCAACCCCUUGCAUUAUCUACAUGUUAGCCAUUUGAUCAACUAACAGUGACAUAGGGGCAUUGUUCUCUGUUAGAGAAGGGAAGCUUUUGAAAGCAUGGGACAAUUGACAAGGUUAUCAAUUGACUGUUGGUUAAAUUAUUUUCCAUCUGAAUCGUACGUCUGGUUAAUUUCUUUGCAUAGGACGCAACGAGUGAGUCAAAAGCCUCAUAAGACCUGAUAUGGGAUGAAAUUAUUAUCCACAAAUUCUUGAAAUCCGCUAAAAUCUUUCUUGGAUGGGCUCUAAUUGUUGCUUUCAGUGG